rnacentral:misc_RNA from 1 species
GAAAUGCGAUAAGUAAUGUGAAUUGCAGAAUUCAGUGAAUCAUCGAAUCUUUGAACGCACCUUGCGCUCCUUGGUAUUCCUUGGAGCAUGCCUGUUUGAGUAUCAUGAAAUCUUCAAAGUAAAUCUUUUGUUAACUCAAUUGGUUUCUACUUUGGUAUUGGAGGUCUUUGCAGCUUCACACCUGCUCCUCUUUGUUCAUUAGCUGGAUCUCAGUGUUAUGCUUGGUUCCACUCGGCGUGAUAAGUUAUCUAUCGCUGAGGACACUGUAAAAGGUGGCCAAGAUAAAUGCAGAUGAACCGCUUCUAGUAGUCCAUUGACUUGGACAAUACUUUUAUGAUCUGAUCUCAAAUCAGGUAGGACUACCCGCUGAACUUAAGC